UACGUAGGGUGCGAGCGUUUGUCCGGAAUUAUUGGGCGUAAAGAGCUUGUAGGCGGGUUGUCGCGUCUGCUGUGAAAAUCCGGGGCUCAACCCCGGACUUGCAGUGGGUACGGGCAGACUGGAGUGUGGUAGGGGAGACGUGGAAUUCCUGGUGUAGCGGUGGAAUGCGCAGAUAUCAGGAGGAACACCGAUGGCGAAGGCAGGUCUCUGGGCCACUACUGACGCUGAGAAGCGAAAGCAUGGGGAGCGAACAGG
rnacentral:rRNA from 1 species